UCUGUCUCAGGAGACACAGAGACAGCGGGAGUGCUGUCUCUGUCUCAGGAGACACAGAGACAGGGGGAGUGCUGUGUCUCUGUCUCAGGAGACACAGAGACAGGAGGAGUGCUGUGUCUCUGUCUCA